rnacentral:rRNA from 1 species
CCUACGGGAGGCAGCAGUUAGGAAUUUUGGGCAAUGGGCGCAAGCCUGACCCAGCAACGCCGCGUGGGUGACGAAGGCCUUCGGGUUGUAAAGCCCUUUUCUGGGGGAAGAUGAUGACGGUACCCCAGGAAGAAGCACCGGCUAACUACGUGCCAGCAGCCGCGGUAAUACGUAGGGUGCAAGCGUUGCCCGGAUUUAUUGGGCGUAAAGGGCGCGCAGGCGGCUCGGCACGUCCGUUGUGAAAUCGCCCGGCUCAACUGGGCGGGGUCAGCGGAUACGGCCGAGCUGGAGCAAGCUAGGGGGCAAUGGAAUUCCCGGUGUAGUGGUGGAAUGCGUAGAUAUCGGGAGGAACACCAGUGGCGAAGGCGGUUGCCUGGAGCUUUGCUGACGCUGAGGCGCGAAAGCGUGGGGAGCGAUCCGGAUUAGAUACCCUUGUAGUC